AAGCAACCAUUGGUUCCAAAGACCCACAUUGUCAGAUUAAGCCCAUCAGUCAUUGUGAGGCAGUAAUGAUCAAAUAGAUAACACUCAAAGAACUGUGAAGGCCUAUUUUGAGUCAGGAUCAAAUAGCUAAAGUGCCAAAAAACUUUGGUGAAACAAAUUCAUUUCAGGCCUGGACGUUUAUCAUUUAAAAAUGAGGGUAUUAGCAAAGCAUG